AGUGGUACCAAAAAGAUGGUAAAUUGGUAGUGUUCAGUUCCGGGCAAACAUUUUCUUCAAGAGGUUCUUGUCAGAUUGAUGAAUGUGAAAUUAAGAGGACCCAUUUUGAGAAUGCUUUUAUGAAUGGAAUCCAGAGAGAUAAAGUCUAAAAUGUGAUACUGUCAAUGUGACCUUAACCUUGAAGUAAACAGAUGACACAAUGUUUUUUCAAUGUCAUGGGCAUAUAAUGAAGAGAAAACAGAGAUGCUUGUUUGACAGAUACAGUAAUAGUAGGAGUUAUGAGGGAAGAUAGAUUGCAGUGAUAACUAUAUUGAGGCACCACUUUAUCACCAAGAACAUGAGAUGACUUAUCAAUGUUUUCAAUGUGUUUGAACACCCAUUUUAAAUAAUACAGCUCAGAGUGAAUUUUUCAAAAUAAUUAAUUCUGUUUUCAAAGUUUUUUAUUAAGAUGUUAGUUGAUCUUGUCAAGUACUUUUAUUUUUUUAGGGAUGGCAACAAAUAUAGAGGAUAUUUGUUUGUUUUGCAUGUAAGAUUGAAAUAUAAUUUCACUGAGUGAACACCAGAUGCAAUUUUUUCACGAGUGGCGUAGCCACGAGUGAAAAUAUAAAAGCUGGUGUUCACGAAUGAAAUACAUUUCAAUCUAAUAUGUAAAACAAAUAAAUUUUCUUUUUAUGUCAUGCUUUUUAAGUGAUUUUAAGUAAUUUUUACUGAUUUUGCCUCGUAACGUAGCGCAUUCUCCUUUGUGACGUCAUCACAUCAUGACGUCACAUCAAAAAGUUUGAAAUAUAGUUCUGUUAAAUUUCUCUAAUUUUGUUACAUUUUUAACUUUAUGUAUGGUGACAUCGACUUUCUUUUCCAAAAGAAGCAAAAUUUAGACAUGACAGCAUUUAUUUUUGCCUGUUAUUCCAUUCAGAUUUGAUUUUCUUUUCAUCCACAUUCAGAUAUAGUCCGGCUACAGUGAAAAUUAUAUUUUAUAAAUUUCACUAGUGGUUUAUCAAAAUAUAAUCAUCUGAUAUAUUACAAUAAAACACUGGAAAGCA